rnacentral:lncRNA from 1 species
UUUUUUUUUUUUUACAGGUGAGAAAUCUGAGGCUUAGAUGGAUUGACUAUCUCACCUCAUGUCAUAAGCAUAAUGAAUGGAUUAUUCUGAUUCAAGCCCAGAUCUCUUUGACUCCCAAAACGCAUCUCUUCCAACCACAGGAUUCUGCUGGUUAUACUACUUUUUAAAAUGAAUGCCACCAUUUAUUUUUCUCCUUGCUGCAUCAAAACUCCAGACACACAUUUAACCAACCAUCUACUCACAUCUUUUAUUAUCAAACUACAAGACAAUAUACCAUUUUAAAAGACCAAUUCCUCACUCCACAGUUAAAUAAAAUGUUUCAAAAAACCCAGGAGACAUGGCCAAUGUCUACCCAGAUUCCCACUCCAACUCUGUGCUGUGGUAUGGAGUUAGUAGCCCAGGAGCAGUGCUGAUAUUAGCAGUGGUCACAGAGGCCUUGAAAGGGAAAGCGACUUUAUUAUUAGACAGCUGGGAUGGAAGACAGACUCUAAUCUGUACCCUUCCUACAAGUGACUGAAGGUGAAGUUCCUACUGGAGCUCAGUGGGUUAAGAACCUAACAUAGUGUCCAUGAGCAUGUGGGUUUGAUCCCUGGCUUUGCUCAGUGGGUUAAGGAUCUGGCGUCCAUUGCUGCAAGCUGUGGUGUAGGUCGCAGAUCAGCCUGGAUCUGGCGUUGCUGUGGCUGUGGUGUAGGCUGGCAGCUAUGGCUGUAAUUUGACCCCCUAGCCUGAGGACCUCCAUAGGCCAUAGGUGCAGCCCAAAAACAGGAAAAAAAAAAAAAAAAUGACUGAAGGUGAUUUCAAAUAAAAGAACAGAUAUAAUAAUCUCUAAAGAGAUGUGAUAAAACACAAAGCUAAUUGUUAACAAAAAUAAGUCUCACAUACCAGAAUAAGACUUAUUUUACACAAAAAUAAGACUCACAUACCAAAAGGGAAUAGGAAUGAGAGGAGAAAAACUGUGACAGAGAAGGUUUAGAAAGAGAAAUUGCUGCAAGUGAGAGUAAAGCUUAGUUCAUAUCUAUUUGCAAAACCAGCCAGGAAAGGAAACACGAUGAGGCUACAGCAGCACUUCUCAAACUUGAGUGUGAAUGUGAAUCAGCCAGAAAUCUUGUUUCAAUACAGCUUCCCGCUUAGUAGGACUAAAGUUGGGCCAGAAAAACUGCAAGUUGAACAAGUUUCUGGAUGAUGCAGACUACACUUUAAGUAGAAAAGAGCUGCAUUCAUAGUCUAACUGAAAACUUAACAUGACCAGAACAAAAAAGGCUUUUUUUAAAAAAAUAAAUCCCUAGGUAUUAUGUGUUGAAUUGUGCCCUGCUCCAAUUCAUAUGUUAAAGUUCUAACCCCAAGUACCUCAGAAUAUGAUCUUAUUUCAAAAUAAAGUCAUUGUAGAUUUAAUUAGUUAAAAUUAGGACAUUUGGAUGGGCCCUAAUCCAAUAUGACUAGUGUCCUUCUAAAAAAGGGGAAAUUUCACAGAACAUGAUGGAGGAUAAUGUGAGAAAAAGAAUGUACAUGUGUGUGUGUGAGAGAGAGAGACAAAGAGAGACUGGAUCACUCUGCUGUACUGCGGAAACUGACAGAACACUGUAAAUCAACUAUAAUAUAUAAUAUAGAAAUCUUUUUUUUAAGGGAAAUUUACAUACAAAGGUACACAUACACAUGAGAAACACCAUGAAGAUGAAGGCAAAGAAAUGAUGCCUCUGCAAGCCAAAGAAUACCAAAGAUUGCCAGCAAACCCAUAAGCUAGAGGAUAGCGGGGAGCACACUUUCUCCUACACCCUCGGAAGGAACCAAGCCUGCUGAUGUUUUUUUUCCCUGUUGACAUCUCAAUCUUGGACUUCUAGCAUCCAGAUCUUUGUGACAAUAAAUUUCUGUUUUUUAAGCCACUCUUUGUGGAAUUUGUUCCAGCAGCCCUACCAAACUGAUGUAGAAAGAAAAUAUGCCUCUAUAGAAGGAAUAUUUCACCACACGUCAUCCUUGACUGUAAUUUAAUGAGGUUUCUAAAGUGUCCCUUAGCUCUGAAUGUUUGUCCCCUCCUCCCCAGACACAGCUUUCUUUUAUUAUUAUUAGCAUGCUUUUGCUUUUGUGAGCUAGCGUCUGGGAUAUCCACAGUCAUCUGGGCACCAAGAAAGGUCAAUGAAUGAUAUUCUGUUCUUUUCAAUUUGAAUAGAUCUACUGUUGUGACUUUCUGGGCUUCAACAGGAAAAUAAGGCUGAAAAAAAACUUUCCCUCAACAAUUUUAAACUGAUGAAGAGCUCACCAAUUUUGCCAUGCUCUCUAUAUGUACAUGGAUUUAAUAAGGCCUAAGGGCUUUGCUUUAUUUCUUAUUUUUAAGCCUCCCUCUCUGAUCAGAGAUGAAGACUAGAGAACUCAGGCUUCUGCAGUUGUAACAGACAUUUUAAUACCCUUGCAGUAUUAACUUCUAUCCAGUUACUUAGUAUAAAGUCUGGCAGUGACCUGUGGAGCUAAAGCCCUUUCCAUCAUCUAGCAUACUGUAAUAUAUAGCUAAUAUAUUUUAAAAUUACAUAUAGUGAGUAUAUAGUACUAUCAUAUACAGUUAGUGUAUAUUACUCUAACAUAUAGUCAGCAUGCUCAUUUCUCUUUUAGAUAGAUGGCACAUAUGCCCUCCAAGGAAUAGAUACAAGACUAACAGGAAACUGUGUCCUUAUUUGAAAACAGAUGAAAUAUACUAGAAUACUACACGAGUGACUAUUACUAUAACACACCCAGUACCUGCGUGAAAGCACAAAUUAUAUUAGACAAUGUUAAACAGUCAAGGAAGAUUUUAUUCAAUGCUACUGCAAUAGGGGAGAGAGACUAGAAUGCAGUCUGAGCUAAACUCCACUGAAACAAAGAGCUGGAGAGUUUUUAAGAGCUGGGGAAGGUGGGGAACAUAGGACACCUGGGUUUAGUAAUUAUCCUUGCCCAGAGGAAAACUAAAUGUUUUCACAUCUUCAUGGUAGGAAUAAGUUUUACAACUCACAGCGAGUUACCCUCGGAAGUUAAGUUCAUAACCUUCUACAGAGGAUGGGAAAUUGGGACACUCUGCUUCUUGAGGAUUAUAUUUCAAAAAGAUGACUCCCAUGUCCUUGAGAAAGAGUUUAAAGUUGCAAAACUGGCAAGAAGCUUUUUUUAAAGAUUUACAUUUCAGAUAGAAAAAUAAUUUAUGAGUUUUCAAACACAAAUGCUCUAAGGAAAGGGAUGUCAGGGCCCUAUAGGCAAGGAGAAGCCUUGUUAGGAAAACUGAGGAAAAUGGUAAUAUGCAUGUGGGUAGAUUCUUCACAGUACAGAUUUAUAAUUAAAAAGUUGGCAAUCACUAGAAGGCAUUGGAGACCACAAAUGUAGUUCAUGCUGUGUUCCUGAAAUUAAGUCCAGAUGUGCUCAUUUUAAAUGUUCCAUCAUCAUUCUGGGCCUCAGAAUGUUGAGGCAGAAAAUGAAUGCUUUGACCAAGUUUCUGGACAACUUGGAGUUCUAAAUUUGCCUCUUACCAGUGUGGUCAAUUGUUUAGACCUAAUGUGAAUGCAUGCCACAAGACAAAAUCUUGGGUACCCUAGGAUCAAGUGUUGGCUUUUUGCUAUUAAGCAUUAGGAACGAUUUGCCUUGAUGCAAAUAACCAAUUAACAAAGCUCCUGUGUGGAUCAGUAAUUCCAAAAAUGGGAUAAUCAGCAAAACCAUUUGAAGAUUUCUAAAAAUACGUAUUUUCAUACUCUAUCCUUGAAUAUUCUGAUGUCCUAAGUUUAAGGUGGUCCAAAGAAGUCAAGUUCCUAGAGUUUCUAUUGAGGCUCAGCGGAAACAAAUUUGACUAGCAUCCACGAGGAUGCAGGUUCAAUCCCUGGCCUUGCUCAGUGGGUUGAGGAUAUGGUGUUGCCAUGAGCUAUGGUGUAGGUCGCCCACAUGGCUCGGAUCCCGUGUUGCUGUGGCUAUGAUGUAGGCUAGCAGCUAUAGCUCCAAUUGGACCCCUAGCCCAGGAACCUCCAUAUGCCACAGAUGUGGCCCUAAAAUUUAAAAAAAGGCAAAAAAAAAACCCCUCAAGUUCCUAUAAAAUAUCCCAAGUUACAAAUAAUCAGACAUGUUUGGGAACUUGUUGUUUAAGUUAAUAUUGAAGGAAAAGCAUUUCAUGGGAUAAUUAGGAGAUAUGAUGUAGAAUUUGUUCACAUACAUUCUAGUUUCCAUAGUGAUUUUUUUUAUCUUUAAUAGAAUAAAUUGAUUCAACUAUUGGUACGUUGGAUAAAAGCAAAAAUACUUCAUGAAAAAUUUAUCGUCCACUAUUUAUAAUCACUCUUAUAUAUAAUGGCUUUGGGGUUUACUAGCUAGUAUUACCAAAAUAGAAUUUAUCAAAUAAAUGAGAAUAUUCAUUAUUGACUUUGUUAUAAAUUCACUAAAUAACUUUAAGCAGGAAGAAUGAAUAACUUUGACUUGUUUUUCUAAGACACUCAGCCUAGGCCCUCUGGAUUAGGAGGCAAACCAAAGAGUGGCACCUUCAGAGAAAGGCAAGAUUUCCAACUCUUCCCCAAAGCCUGAAUUCCAUUAGUGUGAGACCCUGAAACCACAUCUGUUUUUCCUUAUGAAUUCAAACAGUUACCUAACCUCUUGGCUCUUAGGUAAAAUGUUCAAGGGCUCACAUGACAACACUUUGUUGUAUAAAUGAAUCUGUUGUAUAUAAUGAAUCUGUUGUAAUUAUAUAGUCUGUUGUGUAUAAUUAAAUUUAAACUGUUUUUGCAGGAAGAGGAAAAAGGGGGAACAAAUAAAUGCCUAUAAAACAUCUGGUUAGGAUCUACAAAUGUUACAUCUUUUCUGUCUCCAAAACGUUUGUUCUAUCUGUCACCCAUUGCUUUGUUUGAGUCUCUGCAGGCAACAACAUUAUGGAGAAGUCCUGUGGACGAAAACACAGUGCCUGAGCCUACCAUGCCUUCCUGUUUGGCUGGAGCUAAGCUAGUCCAUGGACAGGCAGAAAGCAGCUGUGUAAGAAUGUGUGUUUAAAAUAGGAUCACUUGAUAGACACAAAGGAAACUCACACGGCCCUGCAACACAUCUCUAUUGUGAAACAUUGCACAAUGUCCAAGUUCGUUUGUCCAAGAUUCAAUUCUAGAAGUUUAGUAGGUUGUAUAAAUAACAGAGAGAAGGGAAUAAGGUGAGAAGAUUCAGGAAAAAAAAAAGUCAGUGGUGCUUUAUAGUUUACUCAGAUGUAACUAAUUAUGUGCCAGAGGACUUAUCUUGCUUUAAUUUGGUGAGUGUGGGUGGGUAGGUAGGGUGUGUGUGUGUGUGUGUGUGUGUGUACAGUCUACAGGUCCAUGCGCGCGCGCGUGUGUGUGUGUGUGUGUGUGUGUGUGUGUACAGUCUACAGGUCCAUGCAACCAAUGUGAAGGAGAGACUUUAAGAAUUUAAAGUAUGGAAAAUUCAACCACUUAAAACUGAGAAACCUGGAGUUCCCAUCAUGGAUCAGCGCUUAGUGAACCCAACUAGCAUCCAUGAGGAUGCGGGUUCGAUCCCUGGCCUCGCACAGUGGGUUAAGGAUCUGGCAUUACCAUGAGCUGUGGUGUAGGUCACAGAUGCGGCUUGGAUCCUGCACUGCUGUGACUCUGGCUUAGGCCGGCAGCUACAGUUCCAAUUAGACCCCUGGCCUGGAAACCUCCACAUGCCGUGGGUGCAGCCCUAAAAGACAAAACCAAAACCAAAACCAAAAAUCCUGAAAAACCUACAUAUUUGAAGCAUGAUACUUUUAAAAUUAAUUACAUGAAAAUAAAUGUUGACUAGAUUUGUCUUACAGGUAAUUCCUUUACAGUUGUCAGAAUAUGAAAGUCAACACUAAUAUACAGGGAGAAAUGUAUAGUUAAGAUAGUUUAACAUAACCAGUACUAAGCAAGACCUCAGAGGACACCAUUGAGGAAACAAUAAUAGUAAUGGCUUCAUUUCAAAGGUGAUAAAACAUUACAAAUGUAAGGUUUAUAGGCCUAUACAGUCUUAUUUAAUAUACACUGAACAUUUACUAUGUCAUGGAAUAUUCUAAAUGUUCCCAUGCAUUAACUAAUUUAACUCUCAUUACAUUGUAUUAGUGCAUUGGAUUACUGUAUCCAUUUUACUAGUGAGGAAAUUAAGGCUCAGAAUGAUUAAUAUGUUGAACAAAGUCAAAAGCUUGUAAGUGACAGAGCUGGAUUCACUUUCCAGGCUUUUCACCUCUUUCUGUCCAUCACCUGAUUUCAGGGUCUGAAUUAUGUAAAUUCAUCCCUUCUUUUUAAGCGUUCACACCCAACCAGGCCACUCCAAAAGGCAAAAAUGGGUUUGCUGUACUUAAUGCUCUUAAGAAACCAGUACUGCUUUGACCUAUGUUCUGUCCAACCCAUGUCUAUUAAUAUUGGUGGAGGAUGGGUGACAAUUUAAAAGACAUAUUUUUGUAUGACAAAAGUUUUCUAUGAAAAAUUGUCAGAGAAUGGAUUUAAUUAUUUAGUGAGUGAAUAAUUCACAUGGGGGUGAUCUAAAUUAUUGCAUUCUAGAUUAAAUGCCAAGUAACACUGAUGUUCAGCAUGUCUAAAAUUAAAAAUGAGAAAGGGAAAAUUUUUUCAAUAGACAUUUCAGUCAGUUAUUUGAGUUGGCUUUCUUCGGAGAGUUGCCAUGUUGAUUUAUUAUCUGCGCUAGUGUGAUAUAAACACAGGCUGAGUGUUAGUAUAUAACAACAGUUAAAAUUUCAUUUAGCUUUUAAUGUGUUAAACCACAGCAAUAUAAAGAUGGAAGGGUCCUUAUCAAUCAACGAAUCUCACUCAACACAGGAAUCCCUCGAUAAUGAUUUAUGGUCUAAUCAUUCCAUUAAAUAUAUGAGGAAACAGGAUAAGCUCAAUUAAAUGAUUUAAGCUUAGAAAGGGGUUAAGCCUCAGACUUCUCAAUUCUCAGCCCAGUGUUCUUUUUUAAAUUACAUUCCUUCACAGUGGCCUCUGCCUUACUGAACAAGUACCUUAUAAAAUCAGCUAAAAAAUGGCACCAAAAUACAAAAGUCCAAAUUAUCUGUAUGUCAAGUGAGAUAGUAAAGUGGAUUCUAAGGGAUGUCUCAUUUUACAACAGUCCCUCCAUGCCAAACAGUGUGAUACCCCAUGCAUACUCACAACACACAAAUAGUAAAACUGAUCUCCCAUCCUGUAUUCAACCUGUUCGUGGCCCCUAAUCCCCUUAUGUAAUCCCACUGUUUCUUCUGUAGUCAUAGCUGUGUUUUUUCCAGGAUCUUUGAAUCUGUAUUUUCUUCUCAAGGAAAGAAAGAAAUCCUAAUCAUAAGGAGUAGGUGCUAGCACAGUAAAGAUAGUAAGCAGACUACUCCAUAAGACCCACAAUAGGAAAUACUGGGGUUGACCAGAUGCAUGGUCAACAUGUCUCUCAAACUGUGCAAACAGUGAAGAUGGGCUCCAGGAUACAACAGCUCAAAAGGUCUCACAAAUUCUGAAACCCUCAUUCCUUCCCUCCAAAUUCUUUACUGCUGAGGCUGUUAAUAAUUUGCUAAAACUUGACUUAAUAAAUUUGAUUUAAUAAAAAAUAAUAAACCCUUACACCCUAUCAUUAUUAGCCUCUAUCAUUAUUAGACGCUCCCUCAAGCUGAUAGCUUAGAUCAUUUGUGAUGCAGAACUACCCUUGUGGGAGUGAAGGCUUAAAUUGAGCUUGGUGUCAUGUAGUUAUUCUUUGCAGUCAAAGAUGCUGCUGAUGCUGGCAUUGUUUCCUGCACUUUGCCUCUUACCAUUAGCUGUAUUUACACAUGACCUGUUUUUUAAGCACAAUUUGGAUGUAAUUCCCAGCACUGUGUGCGUUAACUCGUUAUGUUGGGAAUUAAUGACAGCUUUAGUAAAUGUUAGUCUCUAGAGGAAGGCAUUGUUAAGGCAAUCCUGGCUUCUAAAGCACUAUUUUUCCUAGGGUCUAUGUCACAGUGUGGGUGUCAUUAGGGGCAUCACUUAUAUGCACAGGAAAGUUCAUUAGCAUUGUUAAGAUUUCAAGAUACUACUAACGGCCCGUCUAUUCCCUGAGUGUUCAGCUUCUUUGGGAACCAAGUUCACCAUAAAGCCGGUAAGGCUAUUAAUUUCAUUUUGUCCUCAGCUACAGUGGAAGCAAGGCACUGUCUGUUCCAAGGUUUUAUUUAGUUCUAUCCCACUUGUAUUCACUUUCUCUCUAGUUGUCCUUUGGCUUUCAGUAUUUUUCAAGUAUUUUUACAUAAGAUACUAGAGGCUACUUUGCGGUUUUCCUACUUCUGACAAUUUCUGAAGGUCUGUGGUUGUAAAUUAUCCAUCAAGGGGCUCACUCAGAAGGCCUGGGUGGAUGCCCAUACUUUCCUGCUCAACCGGGAAGUGUGCCUGAGUGGCUGAAGGAAGCCUGGCGUGGAAGCCGGCCAGGACUGCCCAGUCACUGCAAUAAUGCUCACUUGACCUGUGGCCCUGAGAAUCCUACGGUACCCAGCCACUUUGGUUUCUCCGUUUACUAAACCCGUGUAUCAAAUGCUAACUUCAUAGGUGAGAUGGGAGGAUAAAACUGAGCAGCACAUGUGAAAGGGCCUUGCACAAAGAAAGCUCUUAAAAUUGCUUCUAAAUAAAUGAUAGAUAAUUAACAAUACUUUCUUAGUUACAGCCCCCAUUUGCAUAUAUUAUACUGGUCCUAUGUGUCAUUGGAGGCAGAUAGCUAUCAUUAUGAUUUCAACUUUAUGACAAGGAAAUCAUGAGUCUAAAAGGAGUUGAAGGACUUGCUUAAAUUAAAAAACAACCCAAACUAAGCCUUCUGAUUUUCAUUUCCAUGCUCUUUUGAGGUUUGGCUCAAGUACACACUGAUAAUUGUUGAAUCAAUAGCCACAUCUUUUCUUUCUUUUUAAAAAAAAUCUUGGAGUUCCCAUUGUGGAUCAGCAUAUCCACAAAGAUGUUGGUUCAAUCCCUGGCCUUGCUCAGAGGAUUAAGUAUCUGGCAUUGUUGUGAACUGUGGUAUAGGUUGUAGAUGUGGCUUGGAUCCCACAUUGCUGUGGCUAUGGUGCAGGCAAGCAGGUAUAGCUCCAAUUUAACCCCUAGCCUGGAAACCUCCAUGUGCCCCAGGUGUGGCCCUAAAAAGCAAAUAAACAAACAAAAAAAAACUUAUUAUGGAAAUUUCAAACACAAAAAUAGAAGAAUUAAUGAGUUUGCACAUACCUACCACCCAGCUUCAACAAUUUUCAAUAUUUUUCCAAUUCUUUCUGUGUAUUGCCCAAUCUCUUUUUAUUUUGGCUGUUUUAAAGAAAUUCUCAAACAUAAUUUCAUUUUGCUUAUAAACACAUGAGUAUGCACAAUAAUUUUUAAGGAAAUUUUUACUAUAAUGACCAUUCCAUGAUCUUCACAAACAAAUAUUUAAAAAACUCCUUGUUAUUCAAAUUUCCUGAUUUAUCUCAGUACUAUCUUUAUUCAGAUUGUUUGAAAUGAAAUUCAAAGAAGAUCC